rnacentral:lncRNA from 1 species
GGAAGUCUUGUCCUAACAGGGCAGGUCAUAUUGUCUUGUUUUUACUUUUAUUGGAGGAAUAAAUUUUAUAAUUGAGAGCCGUGCUAAACUCUCUACCAGUGGAGCUACAUCCCCAGUGCCUAGGUCAAUUUUUUUUCCAGGAAAUAAUGGAUGUGACAUGACUUUGGAAGACAAUUUACAGUGUGAGAAGCAUGGACUCCUUCUGAGUGGUGAAGAACUGGGUGAGCCUAUGGGACAUGCCUCACAAACCCUUCCAUAUCCAGCUUUACCCUAUGUGCUCUCAAGAGCCUUCCGGACUCCCAGAGGUGGAAGGUUCGAAUGGAGAGCAAAGCUGAGGCCUUGGAGCUGUGAUGUGUAACAGUCCACAGUAGCUACCGGAGGAGGAUGCACGACCUGCUUCAAGACCACCAUGCCUGUCUCAAGGUGUCCCUCAAGCCUGCCUGAUCAUCAGCACAGGGGCCUAGCGGGCCUAUCAACACCCUAGAAAUGAUCUGCCAUAUCCCCACUCCAAUCGGAUCAUUUGCAGGAACCCCCAUCAUGAGUGAGAUGUCAGACUCAGAGGCCAGGGAACAUCCAGACUCCUAGGGCGUUCACAGCCACCGCAUCUUACUUCUGAAUUUGCAACAAGGGGACUAAGCCUCAGAGAGGUCAAAGUGGCCAGACAAUGACAUGGAAGGACCAAGACAAGAACCCAGGAUGGGCUUCUCCCGCCUGCCUCUCCAGGGC